CUUGCACGCUGGCGGCAUGCCUUACACAUGCAAGUCGAACGGUAACAGGUCUUCGGAUGCUGACGAGUGGCGAACGGGUGAGUAAUACAUCGGAACGUGCCCGAUCGUGGGGGAUAACGGAGCGAAAGCUUUGCUAAUACCGCAUACGAUCUACGGAUGAAAGCAGGGGACCGCAAGGCCUUGCGCGGACGGAGCGGCCGAUGGCAGAUUCGGUAGUUGGUGGGAUAAAAGCUUACCAAUCCGACGAUCUGUAGCGGGUCUGAGAGGACGACCAGCCACACUGGGACUGAGCCACGGCCCAGACUCCUACGGGAGGCAGCAGUGGGGAAUUUUGGACAAUGGGCGAAAGCCUGAUCCAGCCAUGCCGCGUGCAGGAUGAAGGCCUUCGGGUUGUAAACUGCUUUUGUACGGAACGAAAAGACUCUUUCUAAUAAAGAGGGUACAUGACGGUACCGGAAGAAUAAGCACCGGCUAACUACGUG
rnacentral:rRNA from 1 species